UUUUAGAUCAGAAAAAAACAGUCAGAGAUCGACCAUCAUCAAGGAGCGGAGAAUGAGUUCAGUGUCAAUAUCUCUGCUAUUCCAGCUGAACCCAGUGAAGUAACGUACACCGCCAUUAAGUUCAAAAAGCUCCGAAAAAAGAGAAAACCCCGUAAACCUGAGGAGCCCGUUAUUUACGCAGAAGUGAACACAAGUGCUGCAGAACUCGCUCCAACGUACGCUGAAAUCAAUAAGAACAGAGCCAAGCGAAACAGGAGAGAAAAACCUGCAGCAACAGAUGAAUCAGUUUAUUCUGAAAUCAAAUCAGCGGUAACUCUGGAAGGUGAAUCUGCCUUUUAGCACACCAUGCAAACUUAGAUGUUUGUGUACAUGCUUAUCUAUUUUGGUACUUUUAAAUAUAACUAAUAUAUGUCUCUGAUCCAAAAUGCUGUGAAAGUGUGAAAUAUAUAAUCAUCUAUUUUCUCUAUUACAUAAUUAAAACAUAUUUAGUUGUAUUAAGUGAUACUGUAAGGGAAUCCGUAUUAAAAUCUCUGUCUUUUGGAAAUAAACUAUAGAAUUGUAUUAUAUUGCAGUCUAAGCACUGUGGACUUUUUUAUGAUGUUUCUAUGUGCUCUUAAUGUCAUGUUUAUUGUUUCCUAUUUCUACAAUGCUGCAGACAAAAGAUGGGAACAAUUGGCUGAAGUUAAUGGAUGAAAAAAUAAAUGAUGUUUCUCCUUAGAUUAAGCAUU